UGCAAGUCGAGCGGAUGAGAGGAGCUUGCUCCUUGAUUUAGCGGCGGACGGGUGAGUAAUGCCUAGGAAUCUGCCUGGUAGUGGGGGAUAACGUUCCGAAAGGAACGCUAAUACCGCAUACGUCCUACGGGAGAAAGCAGGGGACCUUCGGGCCUUGCGCUAUCAGAUGAGCCUAGGUCGGAUUAGCUAGUUGGUGAGGUAAUGGCUCACCAAGGCGACGAUCCGUAACUGGUCUGAGAGGAUGAUCAGUCACACUGGAACUGAGACACGGUCCAGACUCCUACGGGAGGCAGCAGUGGGGAAUAUUGGACAAUGGGCGAAAGCCUGAUCCAGCCAUGCCGCGUGUGUGAAGAAGGUCUUUCGGAUUGUAAAGCACUUUAAGUUGGGAAGGAAGGGCAUUAACCUAAUACGUUAGUGUUUUGACGGUUACCGACAGAAUAAGCACCGGCUAACUUCGUGCCAACAGCCGCGGUAAUACGAAGGGUGCAAGCG
rnacentral:rRNA from 1 species